GACGAACGCUGGCGGCGUGCUUAACACAUGCAAGUCGAACGGAAAGGCCCUGCUUUUGUGGGGUGCUCGAGUGGCGAACGGGUGAGUAACACGUGAGUAACCUGCCCUUGACUUUGGGAUAACUUCAGGAAACUGGGGCUAAUACCGGAUAGGAGCUCCUGCUGCAUGGUGGGGGGUGGAAAGUUUCGGCGGUGUGGGAGGGACGCGCGGCUUAUUAGCUUGUUGGUGGGGUAGCGGCUCACCAAGGCUUUGACGGGUAGCCGGCCUGAGAGGGUGACCGGCCACAAGGGGACUGAGACACGGCCCGUACGCCUACGGGAGGCAGAAGUGGGGAAUAUUGGACAAUGGACCAAGAGUCUGAUCCAGCAAUUCUGUGUGCACGAUGAAGUUUUUCGGAAUGUAAAGUGCUUUCAGUUGGGAAGAAAAAAAUGACGGUACCAACAGAAGAAGUGACGGCUAAAUACGUG
rnacentral:rRNA from 1 species